UUGAUUACGUCCCUGCCCUUUGUACACACCGCCCGUCGCUGCCCGGGACUGAGCCAUUUCGAGAAAUUUGGGGACCGUUAAUUAAACAUUUAUUUGUUUUUUUGAUGGAAACCAAUUUAAUCGCAGUGGCUUGAACCGGGCAAAAGUCGUAACAAGGUAGCUGUAGGUGAACCUGCUGCUGGAUCAUU
rnacentral:rRNA from 1 species